AUGAAAACGGGUGAAACUAAGCGUGCCCGGCGUUGACGUUUGAUGAAGUCGGCACGGCGGUGAUGAAAACGGGUGAAACUAACCGUGCCCGGCGUUGACGCUUGAUGAAGUCGGCACGGCGGUGAUGAAAACGGGUGAAACUAACCGUGCCCGGCGUUGACGCUUGAUGAAGUCGGCACGGCGGUGAUGAAAACGGGUGAAACUAACGUGCCCGGCGUUGACGCUUGU